rnacentral:tRNA from 1 species
GGAGAGGUGCCGGAGUUGGUUUAACGGGCACGCCUGGAAAGUGUGUGAUUGCGAAAGUGAUCCCUGGGUUCGAAUCCCAGCCUCUCCGCCA